AUGGGAGCUUUCCCUUCACCGCCCUCAUGGCGGUGGUCAACAGGGUUCAUAACUACCCCUCUUACUAGCGGGCGUUUACCUAGCCAACACUUAGAUCCGGCUCUACCCAAACUUAUUUGGACCCCAACAUUACCCACUUGUCCGACUGUUGCUAAGCAGUUUUGGGAUACUAAACGGACCUCCCCAGAUGGUAAUCUUAAAGUGGCCGAUUUACCCUCUUUUGCAAUGAGUUUCGCUACAGCACCUGCUGCUCUAGCUAAUUGCCCACCCCUUCCACGUGUGAUUUCUAUGUUAUGCAUGGUCAUGCCUAAAGGCACAUCGGUUGAAGUAGAUUCUUCAUUUCUCUCAAAAAAAACAUUCCCAAACUGUACAAGCUUCUUCCAAAGCAUACGGCUUUCUAGAUGUAUAUGA
rnacentral:rRNA from 1 species